rnacentral:tRNA from 1 species
GGAGGUGUCUGGGCUCCUGGUGGUCCCCCCGGUCUUCAAAACCGGUGUGCGGCGGUAUCCGUCGCAGGCGGGUUCGAUUCCCGUCCACCUCCGCCA